rnacentral:rRNA from 1 species
AACGCACCUUGCGCCCCUUGGUAUUCCAUGGAGCAUGCCUGUUUGAGUGUCAUUGAAUUCAUCAACCAUGUCUUUUGGGACAUUGGCUUGGACUUGGGAUUUGUUGGCUUAUUUAAAAUGUCAACUGUCCUUAAAUGCAUUAGCAAAGUGUAUUUUAGAUGUGCACGGCCUUGAUGUGAUAAUGAUCAUCAUAGCUGGAGCAUCAAAGAAAAUUGCUACACAGUGGGUUAGUUAGCUAUUAGUUGGAUAACGACGAACACUACUACUAUUUGAAACUUGACCUCAAAUCAGGUAAGACUACCCGCUGAACUUAA